ensembl:lncRNA
GUCGGUGGCCAUUUUGACUUCAGAAACCGGGGACAACAGGUGUCGGUGGCCAUUUUGACUUCAGAAACCGGGGACAACAGGUGUCGGUGGCCAUUUUGACUUCAGAAACCGGGGACAACAGGUGUCGGUGGCCAUUUUUUUAUUUGAGCUGUCAGUAACCAGGGAAGACAGGUGACUUAAACUGUCGGUAACUGCCUGGACCAGACACCACGACAGGCGGCCAUUUUGUUAUGCUGGUUGUUAUAGUAACUCUGUGGUCAGUGGCCACUGUUUUGUGACACUUGGUAGGUUUGUUACAUUCUAAAGGUCAGACACAAUUUUGAGACUUUUUUUUUUUUAAAUGUAAUUUUUUAGGGAAGGAUUAUUACUCUUGGAGGAUCAGUCGAACAUUGGCAGCUUUAAUGUUGUUAUUAUCAUGUUUGUUGAUGCUAGUUAACCGUCUUCAAAGUUGAAUCUUGGAUGAACAUUUCAGGUUUUGAAUCCCAAGAUAAAGAGGGUGUGACUGUGAUGGCGGUACGAUGGCAGACCAACGUCAUGGCGAUAUGAUGGUCAACGUGUCUCUGAGCUUUCUAAAUGGUCGUCAUGGCGUUAUGAUGGUCAACGUGUCUCUGAGCUUUCUAAAUGGUCGUCAUGGCGAUAUGAUGGUCAACGUGUCUCUGAGCUUUCUAAAUGGUCGUCAUGGCGAUAUGAUGGUCAACGUGUCUCUGAGCUUUCUAAAUGGUCGUCAUGGCGAUAUGAUGGUCAACGUGUCUCUGAGCUUUCUAAAUGGUCGUCAUGGCGUUAUGAUGGUCAACGUGUCUCUGAGCUUUCUAAAUGGUCGUCAUGGCGUUAUGAUGGUCAACGUGUCUCUGAGCUUUCUAAAUGGUCGUCAUGGCGAUAUGAUGGUCAACUCUGAUGGAUCUUUCAUGAUUCCCCGCUGUGUGUCUGACGGCACAAGAGUCUGUACCAUAUUGUAUUAUGAGGAGUUGGAGACAGAGGAGUCUGAUCCCAGAUCUGUUUUGGUGUGAAAAUGACCGUAAGAGUUGGCACAAACUGAUCUGGAACCAGGCUAAUGGAUGAGUGCUCAGCUGGUCUGGGCCGUGCUAGAUAAAGAUGUUUGGUCGUUCCACGAAAUCAGUCCCUCUUGGAGAAUGUAACUUGGGAAAAUAAAUCAAAUAAAAGAGCCCAUGUUGAACUUUAAAAACAAACCCGUUUCCCAGUCUGGAGAGAUCUGACUGAUGGACCUUAAUGAUGACACUUUAACACCGUGUGUCUGACUGAUGGACCUUAAUGAUGACACUUUAACACCGUGUGUCUGACUGAUGG